rnacentral:rRNA from 1 species
UGAGCAAUCUGCCCUUCUCUUCGGAAUAAGCGUUGGAAACGACGUCUAAUGCCGAAUACGACCUCCUUUCACAUGAUCGGAGGUGGAAAGCUCCGGCGGAGAAGGAUGAGCUCGCGGCCUAUCAGCUAGUUGGUGUGGGUAACGCCCACCAAGGCGACGACGGGUAGCCGGCCUGAGAGGAUGGCCAGCCACAUUGGGACUGAGACACGGCCCAGACCUCCGUAGGGAGG